AACGAACGCUGGCGGCAGGCCUCAAACAUGCAAGUCUAGGGGGUGUAGCAAUACAUCACCGGCGGACGGGUGCGUAACGCGUGGGAAUAUACCUAUCGAUUCGGAACAACUGAGGGAAACUUCAGCUAAUACCGAAUACGUCCUAACGGAGAAAGAUUUAUCGUCGAUAGAUUAGCCCGCGUUCGAUUAGCUAGUUGGUGGGGUAACGGCCCACCAAGGCGACGAUCGAUAGCUGUUCUGAGAGGAAGAUCAGCCACACUGGGACUGAGACACGGCCCAGACUCCUACGGGAGGCAGCAGUUGGGAAUCUUGGACAAUGGGGGAAACCCUGAUCCAGCCAUGCCGCGUGAGUGAUGAAGGCCUUAGGGUUGUAAAGAUCUUUCAGUGGGGGAAGAUAAUGACGGUGCCCACAGAAGAAGCCCCGGCUAAACUCCGUGCCAGCAGCCGCGGUAAU
rnacentral:rRNA from 1 species